rnacentral:rRNA from 1 species
CGGUGGAUCACUCGGCUCGUGGAUCGAUGAAGAACGCAGCAAACUGCGCGUCGAAGUGUGAGCUGCAGGACACAUGAACAUCGACGUUUCUAACGCACAUUGCGGCCCA